rnacentral:rRNA from 1 species
GAUGAACGCUGGCGGCGUGCCUAAUACAUGCAAGUCGAGCGAACGGACGAGAAGCUUGCUUCUCUGAUGUUAGCGGCGGACGGGUGAGUAACACGUGGAUAACCUACCUAUAAGACUGGGAUAACUUCGGGAAACCGGAGCUAAUACCGGAUAAUAUUUUGAACCGCAUGGUUCAAAAGUAAAAGACGGUCUUGCUGUCACUUAUAGAUGGAUCCGCGCUGCAUUAGCUAGUUGGUAAGGUAACGGCUUACCAAGGCAACGAUGCAUAGCCGACCUGAGAGGGUGAUCGGCCACACUGGAACUGAGACACGGUCCAGACUCCUACGGGAGGCAGCAGUAGGGAAUCUUCCGCAAUGGGCGAAAGCCUGACGGAGCAACGCCGCGUGAGUGAUGAAGGUCUUCGGAUCGUAAAACUCUGUUAUUAGGGAAGAACAUAUGUGUAAGUAACUGUGCACAUCUUGACGGUACCUAAUCAGAAAGCCACGGCUAACAACGUG